GACAAUGUUCAUUUCUGGCCUGGCGUGGACAAGCUGCUAAUGAAAAUAUGAAUUUGCCAAAAAUUUUUAAUUAAUUUUUAAAGUAUUCACUUAGUGUAACUUUGUAUCAAUUUGCCUUUAUAAAAAUCCAAUAUAAAUAGUACUUUAUGUGAUAAUUACAACUUCCUGUCUUUAACACUCAAUUCAGUGUUGCCAAAAUGAAUCUUAUCGGUAAGAAUCGAUUCAUAUCGAUUGUUUUUCGACUAUGACAAGUAGUAUUUUUUUUAAAUACGUAUUCAUUAAAAUGACAUUUAUAAAACCUUUUUAAUAUUCCAAUAACACUACCAAAAUAUUUAAAUAACUAAAUGAAACCUUAUUUCACACACACCUUAUUAUACACCUUAUUUCGAGUCAUCAAAAAAUACAAUCGAUUUUUAUAUCGAUAAUUUUUAUUCAUCACCACAUUAUUAGCAUGGCAACACUGAAAAUAUUGUCACAGCUGUUAUCUGUCAUUCGCUUUGUUUUGUAUUUUUCAUCGUGAGUGUUGUUUAUUUCUCAAAACCAAGUCUUUGCCAAAAUAAAAGCAGAAGAGUGUUGUAUAAGUUUCCCUUUUGACGACUUUAUUUUUUUGACCAUGGUCCUCGAUGCUUCCCUUCCCGAUGACCCUGGCAUACUCUCGAACUACGAAUCUCACUCAACCAAUGACCAAUGGCUCACUUUCGGACAUCGAACCUUGCCUAAACGCCGACCACGGCUUACGUAUGGACUCCGACCCGAGCCCCAAUGUUAACCCCAGCCCGAUUUUGGAUAAUGCAACCAGCAAUUCCUCAAUCUCAUGAGGAACCUAUGAUAUGUAUCAAUUGUAUAGCUGACAUGAUGCAGAGGAGGCGACAUAGCCUAGAGCUUAUUAAGUUCGGUUGGUUAUAACGUCAGUGGAUGACUCCUCAGCUGAUAAGUUAUUGAAUGAGCGUGUGGACUUGUUGAAUACCUUUUACAAUGUAUUUGAUCAACUACCUUUACCGUAGAUUACCAUAAUCCUAAUAAAACCUUUUUUUUUUAGAUUGAUAACAGCAGUGUAUGUUGUCACUCAUGUUGAACCGUGGCCACGGUGUGGCUCUGCACCAAUCAAGGACAAAUAAUAUUUCAAAUGAAGAAGCAACCACUAGCACUGGUCACAGUUAACGUGGAUUAACUUUGUUACAAAUACGUUCCAUAGACUGCAUAUUAACACGGAAAGAGAAUCACAUAUUCGAAAAUAAUGUAAUAAUGGAACAGAUUUCACCUCGUCAACUGCGGGGAUCUGACCAAAUAUGUCAUCCCUGAUGGCAGUGAGCUGAUCGAGCUGCUACACAUGCUGUGGAGCCCCAACAAACACAUGAUGGGACGAGGAUUCAUUUGCCCUUAUAUUGGCCGAAUAACAGUAGGUUGCUGUGCUCAUGUUAUGACAAUUUUGUGGUUUUUGAGCUGGGCAAGGUAUCAGGAACAUGUAUUUCCACCUGCCUAGUUCCUAGACAAUAUUUUGUUGACCCAUGAGUCAGAUUAAAAUAAUAAUAAUAAUAAAAAA